UACGGAGGAUCCGAGCGUUAUCCGGAUUUAUUGGGUUUAAAGGGUGCGUAGGCGGCCUAUUAAGUCAGGGGUGAAAGACGGUAGCUUAACUAUCGCAGUGCCUUUGAUACUGAUGGGCUUGAAUGUAGUUGAGGUAGGCGGAAUGUGACAAGUAGCGGUGAAAUGCAUAGAUAUGUCACAGAACACCAAUUGCGAAGGCAGCUUACUAAAGUAUGAUUGACGCUGAGGCACGAAAGCGUGGGGGUCAAACAGG
rnacentral:rRNA from 1 species